rnacentral:lncRNA from 1 species
CAUGGAACACAUUGGCCUUUGCAUCUUCUAAUUUUAUCACUCUGUUGUGCUUUGUUAGCUGGAAUUUUGGGUGGACUUCUUGGUGUAGGUAGUGGAUUUGUUAUGGGUCCUUUGUUUAUUGAAUUGGGAAUUGCUCCUCAGGUAACUUCUAGUACUAAAAUCUACACUUUCACUUUCAUUCUUUUUGUUUAGAAGCUUAACAAUGAUUUAGCUUAACAAUGAGAUGUGUUAGAUUAUAAUUGAAAUAGACUAUAAAAAAAUUAAUCCUCUCAAUAAUAGUUCAAUCCUAUUGUAUUCUAUCAUUACAUAAAUUGAUCAAAAUAUAGUUAUUUUAUAUAGUUCAUAAAUUUGCAGGUAGCAAGUGCCACAGCUACAUUAGGAAUGACAUUCACAGCAUCUAUAUCUGUUGUACAAUAUUACCUCUUGAACCGUUUUCCUGUUCCUUAUGGUAAAAUUAAUUAAACUUCAUACAUGUUUCACUUUUUUAUUUAUUUAUAAAAUAUGGUCAUAAAAUUCAAUUGUAUAUUUUUCAUAUAAUACUUAUGUUUCAUUCUGAAUUGCAGCACUCUACCUUACCCUUGUGGCUACGGUUGCAGCAUACAUAGGACAAAAAAUCAUUGACAAGCUCAUCAAUAUUUUUCAAAGGGCUUCCUUGAUUAUCUUUGUCUUGUCUUUCACAAUACUUGUCAGUGCAAUUGCACUAGGUGAGUACUAAUAUAUGUUGUUUGUAAUGAGUUGCUAUUUGUCAUUUUUGCUUUGUUUAUGUAUAGAAAAUGUUGAGUGAAAUAUUUUAAAUUUGUUGGGGAGUCCAGAAGUAACAACGAGUCAAAUGUUUCAGAAUCCUCGUGAUAUUUUGACAUCACAUCUUCACCCAAAACCUUAAGGCAAUGUGUAUAUGACUCACUUCUCUCAUAUAUAUAUUUUCAACAUUUCCUCAGUUCCUAGUCGAUGUGGGACGAACCAUGGCUUUUAUACCACUUGUUGGGGAGUCCGGGACACAGGAGCAACAACAAACCAAAUACUUUAGGAUCCCACGUCGACUUGAAAAUGAGGAAAUGUUGUAAAUAUAUAUAUAAUAGAAGUGACUCAUAUACUCAUUUACUUAAAAUUUUGAGUGGAAAUAUAGUAUCAAAGUCUCUUGAGAAUCUUGAAGCAUUUGAUCCAUUGUUGUUCCCUCACUCUCAAACUCUCUAACAAAAUUGUAGUUGUGGUUGUAGAUUAUAAUGCAAUUCUUGAUAUUGCAAAAAAAUUGCAAUCAUAUGCAAUUGAAAUGGCCGCAAUUGUAGUCGCAAUGUGGUUGUAUAGGGAAAUGGAUUAACAUGCGACUGGCUGCAACUACAAUCACAGUGUCGUUGCAGAGGCUUUUAAAAUAUCUAUAACAAUAGUUUACAAACUAACAGGUACAAUUAAAAUCGUUGUCGUAGUGUAAUUGCAGAGGCCACCAAAACUUAUUUAUAACAACGGUUCUAGACUGCAAUUUAAAAAGUUAUCACUACAACUAAUUAGAUUUUACAUUUUAAACUUUUAUUUUACCUAUGUCUAGCUUUGUGAAAGCGACUUCCUUAACUAUAAAUUUUCUAUGGUUGUAUACAGGUGGAGUAGGAAUAUCACACAUGAUUGAGAAGAUUCAGAGGAAUGAAUAUAUGGGAUUUGAGGACCUUUGUUACUAGCUAGUAGUAUAGUAGGAUGCAUAUAUAGAGAGUUUCAUGUAUUAAUUUUGCACGAUUUAGUGUUAUUGUAUGCCUUUGCCACACAUGAAGAGGACAAUAUUUUGUUCUAUUCAAUUUUCAAAGGUUGAAUGAAUUUUUAUUAAUGAAAACGAUAAAUAACAAAAAUGUAUAAGUUGUGUCAACUCAUACAGUACAUCUUAUUAUUACUUUCUGUGAGAAGUAAUUGAAUUUGUCUCAAAAUAAUUGAAAAUUUUUCAAGAUAAAAAAAAAAAUAAAAAUAGUCCUUUUGUGAAUUUGGUUUUCUUUUUGUAGUUUGCCUGUAAAUUCAUUUUUCAUUUUUAGACUUAAGAAACAUGGAUACUUAGUUUAAUAUGUUAUGUACAAAUAAUGUGCACUAGAUAAACUUUUGUUACGAAAGAAAUCAAUUAACUAAAAAAUGUAUACACUCUUAGUCUGAUUUUAUAUAUAAGAAAAAUUAUAAUUUUUAAGGUGU